AAUAGUUAGAGAAAAACGACAAAACUCAGCUAAAACCAUUAAACUUUUUCGUUUUAAAUUCCAAUCUCGUUGCUUUUAGGACUUGACUUUUUACAUAGAUGAAAAUCACUAUCGUAAUGCUUUUGCUUUUUUUCUUUGAUUUCUUUUUUUUGGCAGAUUACAGCCGUCUUUCAAUAUAAACGCUAUAUUACUACAGUCUUUGUAAAUAUUAUCUACUUGGUGCGCAGGCCAACCCGAUUAUAUACUUUGAUUUAAAUCCCAUUUAGCCUUAGAAUUUUCGUAACAAUAGCUCUGGACUCCUAGUAAAACU